rnacentral:rRNA from 1 species
GACGAACGCUGGCGGCGUGCUUAACACAUGCAAGUCGAACGACGUGGCGAACGGGUGAGUAAUACGUGGGUAACCUGCCCUCCUUUUUGGGAUAAGCCUUUGAAACGGGGUCUAAUACCGAAUAAAGGGGGAUGGGCUCGCGGCCUAUCAGCUUGUGGGUGGGGUGAUGGCCUACCAAGGCGGUGACGGGUAGCCGGCCUGAGAGGGUGACCGGCCACAGUGGGACUGAGAUACGGCCCAGACUCCUACGGGAGGCAGCAGUGGGGGAUAUUGCACAAUGGGCGCAAGCCUGAUGCAGCCAUGCCGAGUGUAUGAAGAAGGCCGUCGGGUUGUAAAGGACUUUUGUUAGGAAAACGGUACCUAAAGAAGAAGCACCGGCUAACUACGUGCCAGCAGCCGCGGUAAUAC